AAUUGAGAAAGAAGAAAAUUUUGAUAUUUACUUUAUUCAAACCACCAAUUUAACCACAAUUGUAUAUUACCGAUUCAUUUUCUACUGAAAAAAAUUCUGCCCUAGCAUUUAAUGAUUGACUGAUUCAACUGGUGCUGAUCCUUGCGACGCGACAGAUCCCCCCUUACCGCUGAUCCUAGAGGAUGGAACCGCCUACCAGGUCCGUGAGAUCUUGGACUCCCGACGCUGUGGUGGCUUCCUGGAAUAUCUGGUGGAUUGGGAGGGGUACGGUCCUGAGGCGAGGUCAUGAGUUCCCCGACAGGACAUCCUCGAUCCCUCUCUUCUGACAGAAUUCCACUCUAACCAUCCAGAUCGACCUCCCCCCCGAGGAAGAGGACGGCCGCCACGACGUUGGGGUCCUCAGGAGCAGACCGUGAGGGGGGGGGGUACUGUCACAGACACGCCAGGCUCCAUUUCACCACACACACCGCACCUGAAUAUUAAUUCCAUUAAUUCCACGCUCCUGUUCCCGGUCCUGUGUAUAUCCACUCAUCUCCAGAAUCCUUCUGCCACCAGUAUAAGGGACGGUAUCUUUAUCUCUUUCAUCCAUUCAUAUCUCUUGUGUGUGAAAUAAACUCUCUCAGUAUCCUCACCGUGUCUCCGGUUGAUCUGUCCAUAACAGCUAGCGCAAAGAAACGUUACCAGGUGGAAGUUAAGUUUCACUUUCACUUUCCGGCGGAGCUAUUACAGCUGUAUAAAACAGCAUUCUCCUCUGCUUUCGCCUUUGGCAUUCCAGUUGUGGAAGACGGCUUCUCCCCCGCUUUGAAAAGCAAUCAAAGUCCAUAGAGUAGUGCAUUUUCAGAUGGUUACAAUCUUUUUUUAUUUUAUUUUGUUGUUUUGGACCUGAGCAAACGAGAGGAGGAUGUGACGUUUUAUAACAAUUUAAUGUUUUGUUAAGCAAUACAGAGCAGCUGAAAGUUAACGGUUUCCCCCCUCUACUCAUUAGGUCCCAACCACACAAAUCUAUUAUUUAUUUUAACUUGGGUUGGCAAGCAUCUCCAUAUUGAUUAAACUCUAUUUAAUUUUGGUUUACAUCAAUAAACUUGGAUUUACUAAACAGAGAUUAGUUUUUAAUUGUGCAACAGAGCUGUUUAAUUUUAAAUCCGGAUUUACUGAUUUUAUACCUAGUUUUGCUAAACUCUGAUUAGAACUAAUCUUAGAUUAAAUUAAUCCUUGUUGGUGCAACCCAGCCUUAGAGCUCUGUGGAAAUGCCACAGAAUAUCAUUCUUUCUUUGUUUGUUCUCACGAUCAUUCAAAUAUUUUUGAUAAGGAGAAGAAACAGAAUUACACUUACAAGACAGAGAAAACUGAGACGUGCUGUUCUUGCUACACUAGCAAGACGUCACCAAAUUAUAGUGAAAAGAUUAAGAUGAUGGUAGAGCUUUGCAUUUAUAUUCACAAUAGAUACUAUAUACACACACAUAUCAUUCCUGAAUUCUUAGUGUGAACAAUUAACUCUCACAGUCAGACUACACUCCCUCCUGAGGAAACUUAGACAUGUUACUUUUGUUUUCACAUCACAUAUAUUAAACUAUUAUAACAGGGUGUGAUUGUGUUCUCACAUAGCUUUUAGUCACACAUUUCAUUUCAUGACACCAUGUUAUCAGUUUUAAUAUCUUUAUUUACAGCUUGAACAACCAUCUCAGUAUUGUGUACUGAACUGCCAAGUUCUUGUCUUGGCCUCAUACUUUAAAGGCCAGAGUGACCUGCGACCAGAUUUCCACCUCUCCAGACCCACAAUACUCAAUCUCCUUCGCAUCCUGCGCUCUCCAUUUGACCAUGGCUAGGGUCAUGAUAUAGAGGUUCCAGCGUUCCUGUUUUGGCUGCCAAGCGCACCUUCUUACCGUGUUGUCUUGAGCGUUUGGCAUCCCACGUUCCACGGUGAAUGAUAUCAGCCACAGGGUCGCACUCAAAAUGAUCAAACUCAAAAACAGGGUCAUCUGCUUUCCACCACCUGAUGAGCUUCGAACAUCUGGUGCUGGCUUUGAGCAUCUAGCUGGAUCUGCAGCAUUCGCCAGGGUUGUGGGCAGCAUUGAUGGCUGUCACAUAAGAAUCAAGCCCCCAAGUGCAGAUGCUCAGUGCUACUUCAACAGGAAGAUGUUUUAUUCUAUUCAGCUGCAAGCAGUGUGUAACAACCAGUGGCGGUUUCUGGACAUAUUUAUUGGCUACCCAGGCUCAGUGCAUGAUUCCAGAUAUCUUAAAAAUAGCCCUUUGUAUGUUCAACGACUGUACCCACCUGAAGGCUAUUGUAUUCUAGGGGAUGGUGGAUAUCCUUGUAUGUCAUGACCCAUCACACUCAUAACACUUUACAGGGAGGUUUAACAGGCACCAUGCAAAGGCCCAUUCUGAGAUCGAAUCUGCUAAUCUUUCAGCACCAAACACCACUCCUCCAGCUCUUCAUGACCAUGACUAUUAAGGAGACACGUUAAAGUCAAAACUCGUUCACAAGUUUUUUGGUUCAAGUUUCAUUCAUGUACAGUAAAUAGUUUCAACUGCUAUUGCUAAUAAUGUUAACAGUUAUUACCAAUAUAGCCUUUGAUCUGUAACAUUGUUAAACCCAUUGGAAAGUUAUGGAAAUGUUGAUCUGUCAGAAUGUGCUUUGUAGAUAGUUCACAUCAGUCAGUGCUCCUCAGUUUUUGAAAAACUAUUUUAUUAUUAUUAAAAACAAACAAAAUUC